CGAAGUCUUCUAACACAGGCAGCUCGUCACCAUGCAGCUCAGUUGAAUUUCUUUCGGAAGGGACUUAAAUCACUAGAGGCCGUUGACCAGCUCGUAAAAAUUGUUACAGACCCAACAUAUUGAUUAUCAAUUCUGUGGAUCUGAAGAUGAUGGUAGGGAAGAUGAUGAGAAUGGAGAUGAUACAAAUGACGGGAGGGAACUGAGUUUUGACUACAGAACAAAUAAGCAAGGGCUUGAUGUUUUUUCUGCAUCAAGGAAUUCAAUGGAGGUGGAAUAUGUUGACAUGCCAUUUCCUCAAGCUUCAGUGACAGAAAGUACAGAGUUAAACCCAGACAAAAACCAAGGGGGUUUCAAUAUCUCAGUUAGAGAACCUCGACCAGGAAGCCAUUCUGCACCG
rnacentral:misc_RNA from 1 species